GAUGUGGGGUUGCACAGACAACUAGGAUGUUAGCUUAGAAGCAGCUAUUCAUUCAAAGAGUGCGUAAUAGCUCACUAGUCGAGUGACCCUGCGCCGAAAAUGUACCGGGGCUAAAACAAUUUACCGAAGCUGUGGAUACCUUUAUAGGUAUGGUAGGAGAGCGUUCUAUGUGUGAUGAAGGUAUACCGUGAGGAGUGCUGGAACGCAUAGAAGUGAGAAUGCCGGUAUGAGUAGCGAAAGACAGGUGAGAAUCCUGUCCACCGUAAGACUAAGGUUUCCAGGGGAAGGCUCGUCCGCCCUGGGUUAGUCGGGACCUAAGGAGAGACCGAAAGGUGUAUCCGAUGGACAACAGGUUGAUAUUCCUGUACUAGAGUAUGUAGUGAUGGAGGGACGCAGUAGGCUAACUAAAGCAGACGAUUGGAAGAGUCUGUCUAAGCAGU
rnacentral:rRNA from 1 species